AGUGAACGCUGGCGGCAGGCCUAAUACAUGCAAGUCGAACGGCAGCACAGUAAGCUCUCGCCCUUACGGUUGGCGAGUGGCGGAUGGGUGAGGAAUACAUCGGCUACCUAUUUUUCUUGGGUGACAUCGUGGGGCAACUUAUGCUAACAGCGCAUACGUCCAACGGCUGAAAGCAGUAGUGAUUGGGGCUUUGGCCGUCACAUAUAGCCGGUGCCGGAUUAGCUAGUUGGCUGGGUAACGGCACACCAAGGCGACGCUCCGUAGCUGGUCUGAGAGGAUGAUCGGCCACACUGGAACUGAGACACGGUCCAGACUCCUACGGGAGGCAGCAGUGGGGAAUCUUGCGCAAUGGGCGCAAGCCUGACCCAGCCAUGCCGCGUGAGUGAAGAAGGCCUUCGGAUUGUAAAGCCCUUUUAUUAGGAAAGAACAACAGCGGAUUAAUCCCCCGCUGUUCUGACGGUACCCAAAGAGUAAGCACCGGCUAACUUCGUG
rnacentral:rRNA from 1 species